rnacentral:rRNA from 1 species
UACGUAGGGUGCAAGCGUUGUCCGGAAUUAUUGGGCGUAAAGAGCUUGUAGGCGGUUUGUCGCGUCUGCUGUGAAAUUUCGGGGCUCAACCCCGAACCUUGCAGUGGGUACGGGCAGACUAGAGUGUGGUAGGGGAGACUGGAAGUUCCUGGUGUAGCGGUGAAAUGCGCAGAUAAUCAGGAGGAACACCGAUGGCGAAGGCAGGUCUCUGGGCCACUACUGACGCUGAGAAGCGAAAGCAUGGGGAGCGA